UAGGGAAUCUUCGGCAAUGGGGGGAACCCUGACCGAGCAACGCCGCGUGAGUGAAGAAGGUUUUCGGAUCGUAAAGCUCUGUUGUUAAGGAAGAACGAGUGUGAGAAUGGAAAGUUCAUACUGUGACGGUACUUAACCAGAAAGGGACGGCUAACUACGUGCCAGCAGCCGCGGUAAUACGUAGGUCCCGAGCGUUGUCCGGAUUUAUUGGGCGUAAAGCGAGCGCAGGCGGUUAGAUAAGUCUGAAGUUAAAGGCAGUGGCUCAACCAUUGUAGGCUUUGGAAACUGUUUAACUUGAGUGCAGAAGGGGAGAGUGGAAUUCCAUGUGUAGCGGUGAAAUGCGUAGAUAUAUGGAGGAACACCGGUGGCGAAAGCAGCUCUCUGGUCUGUAACUGACGCUGAGGCUCGAAAGCGUGGGGAGCGAACAGG
rnacentral:rRNA from 1 species